UACGGAGGGGGCUAGCGUUGUUCGGAAUUACUGGGCGUAAAGCGUGCGCAGGCGGUUUCUUAAGUCAGAUGUGAAAGCCCCGGGCUUAACCUGGGAACUGCGUUUGAAACUGGGAGACUAGAGUGUGGCAGAGGGGGGUGGAAUUCCACGUGUAGCAGUGAAAUGCGUAGAUAUGUGGAGGAACACCGAUGGCGAAGGCAGCCCCCUGGGUUAACACUGACGCUCAUGCACGAAAGCGUGGGGAGCAAACAGG
rnacentral:rRNA from 1 species